rnacentral:rRNA from 1 species
AUCCUGGCUCAGGAUGAACGCUAGCUACAGGCUUAACACAUGCAAGUCGAGGGGAAACGACAUCGAAAGCUUGCUUUUGAUGGGCGUCGACCGGCGCACGGGUGAGUAACGCGUAUCCAACCUGCCCACCACUUGGGGAUAACCUUGCGAAAGUAAGACUAAUACCCAAUGACGUCUCUAGAAGACAUCUGAAAGAGAUUAAAGAUUUAUCGGUGAUGGAUGGGGAUGCGUCUGAUUAGCUUGUUGGCGGGGCAACGGCCCACCAAGCCGACGAUCAGUAGGGGUUCUGAGAGGAAGGUCCCCCACAUUGGAACUGAGACACGGUCCAAACUCCUACGGGAGGCAGCAGUGAGGAAUAUUGGUCAAUGGGCGAGAGCCUGAACCAGCCAAGUAGCGUGCAGGAUGACGGCCCUAUGGGUUGUAAACUGCUUUUAUAAGGGAAUAAAGUGAGUCUCGUGAGACUUUUUGCAUGUACCUUAUGAAUAAGGACCGGCUAAUUCCGUG